AGUGAACGCUGGCGGCAGGCCUAACACAUGCAAGUCGAACGGCAGCACAGUAGAGCUUGCUCUAUGGGUGGCGAGUGGCGGACGGGUGAGGAAUGCGUCGGAAUCUGCCUAUUUGUGGGGGAUAACGUAGGGAAACUUACGCUAAUACCGCAUACGACCUACGGGUGAAAGUGGGGGACCGCAAGGCCUCACGCAGAUAGAUGAGCCGACGCCGGAUUAGCUAGUUGGCGGGGUAAAGGCCCACCAAGGCGACGAUCCGUAGCUGGUCUGAGAGGAUGAUCAGCCAAACUGGGACUGAGACACGGCCCAGACUCCUACGGGAGGCAGCAGUGGGGAAUAUUGGACAAUGGGCGCAAGCCUGAUCCAGCCAUGCCGCGUGUGUGAAGAAGGCCUUCGGGUUGUAAAGCACUUUUGUCCGGAAAGAAAUCCAAUCGAUUAAUACUCGGUUGGGAUGACGGUACCGGAAGAAUAAGCACCGGCUAACUUCGUGCCAGCAGCCGCAGUAA
rnacentral:rRNA from 1 species